UUGCACGCUGGCGGCAGGCCUAACACAUGCAGGUCGAGCGGAUGAAGGGAGCUUGCUCCUGGAUUCAGCGGCGGACGGGUGAGUAAUGCCUAGGAAUCUGCCUGGUAGUGGGGGAUAACGUCCGGAAACGGGCGCUAAUACCGCAUACGUCCUGAGGGAGAAAGUGGGGGAUCUUCGGACCUCACGCUAUCAGAUGAGCCUAGGUCGGAUUAGCUAGUUGGUGGGGUAAAGGCCUACCAAGGCGACGAUCCGUAACUGGUCUGAGAGGAUGAUCAGUCACACUGGAACUGAGACACGGUCCAGACUCCUACGGGAGGCAGCGGUGGGGAAUAUUGGACAAUGGGCGAAAGCCUGAUCCAGCCAUGCCGCGUGUGUGAAGAAGGUCUUCGGAUUGUAAAGCACUUUAAGUUGGGAGGAAGGGCAGUAAGUUAAUACCUUGCUGUUUUGACGUUACCAACAGAAUAAGCACCGGCUAACUUCGU
rnacentral:rRNA from 1 species